rnacentral:rRNA from 1 species
UCGCCUGUUUAUCAAAAACAUCGCCUCUUGCAAAACUCAAAAAUAAGAGGUCCCGCCUGCCCUGUGACUAUUUGUUUAACGGCCGCGGUAUUUUGACCGUGCGAAGGUAGCGCAAUCACUUGUCUCUUAAAUGGAGACCCGUAUGAAUGGCAUAACGAGGGCUUAACUGUCUCCUCUUUCAAGUCAAUGAAAUUGAUCUCCCCGUGCAGAAGCGGGGAUACAAACAUAAGACGAGAAGACCCUAUGGAGCUUUAGACACUAAGGCAGCCCACGUUAAAGACCCUAAAUAAAGGAUUAAACCAAGUGAGCCCUGCCCUAAUGUCUUUGGUUGGGGCGMCCGCGGGGAAUUAAAGAACCCCCACGUGGAAUGGGAACACCCUUCCUACAACUAAGAACUACAGUUCUAGUAAACAGAAUUUCUGACCAGCAAGAUCCGGCAAUGCCGAUCAACGGACCGAGUUACCCUAGGGAUAACAGCGCAAUCCUCUUUUAGAGCCCAUAUCGACAAGGGGGUUUACGACCUCGAUGUUGGAUCAGGACAUCCUAAUGGUGCAGCCGCUAUUAAGGGUUCGUUUGUUCAACGAUUAAAGUCCUACGUGAUCUGAGUUCAGAC